AUUGAACGCUGGCGGCAGGCAUAACACAUGCAAGUCGAGCGAGCGGCGGACGGGUGAGUAAUGUAUGGGGACUGCCCGAUAGAGGGGGAUAACUACUGGGAACGGUGGAUAAAACCGCAUACUAACGGAUAACCCAUAUGGGAUUGGCUAGUAGGUGGGGUAACGGCUACCCUGGGCGACGAUCUCUAGCUGGUCGGAGAGGAUGAUAAGACACACGGGGACUGAGCCGCGGCCCAUAAUGCUACGGAGGCAGCAGUGGGGAAUAUUGCCCAAUGGGCGCAAGCCUGAUGCAGCCAUGCAGAGUUUAUGAAGAAGGCGUUAGGGUUGUGAAGUACGUUCAGCGUGGAGGCGUUACCCGCAGAAGAAGCACCGGCUAACUCCGUGCCAGCCGCCGCGGUAAUAC
rnacentral:rRNA from 1 species